AAGUCGUAACAAGGUUUCCGUAGGUGAACCUGCGGAAGGAUCAUUACUGAGAUGGGGUCCUUCGGGGCCCGACCUCCAACCCAAUGGUCUACCGUCCUUGGUUGCUUCGGCGGCGCCGCUCUCGGUAUGAUCCAGAGAUGGGACAUUUCGAGACCGUCGGACUCCUUUUAUCGGGGGCUUUCGAGUGCCCCCGGGGGAUUAAGCGACAAAUCUUUACGAACCCGAUCUUAAAUAUUUGAGUAAAUAAACUUCAAAA
rnacentral:misc_RNA from 1 species